UACGUAGGGUGCGAGCGUUGUCCGGAAUUAUUGGGCGUAAAGAGCUCGUAGGCGGUGUGUCACGUCGGCCGUGAAAACUUGCAGCUUAACUGUGGGCGUGCGGUCGAUACGGGCAUCACUGGAGUUCGGCAGGGGAGACUGGAAUUCCUGGUGUAGCGGUGAAAUGCGCAGAUAUCAGGAGGAACACCGGUGGCGAAGGCGGGUCUCUAGGCCGAUACUGACGCUGAGGAGCGAAAGCGUGGGGAGCAAACAGG
rnacentral:rRNA from 1 species